rnacentral:rRNA from 1 species
GACGAACGCUGGCGGCGUGCCUAAUACAUGCAAGUCGAACGAGAGCAACCGGUGCUUGCACUGGUCAAUCUAGUGGCGAACGGGUGAGUAACACGUGGGUAACCUGCCCAUCAGAGGGGGAUAACAUCCGGAAACGGAUGCUAAAACCGCAUAGGUCUUCGAACCGCAUGGUUUGAAGAGGAAAAGAGGCGCAAGCUUCUGCUGAUGGAUGGACCCGCGGUGCAUUAGCUAGUUGGUGAGGUAACGGCUCACCAAGGCCGUGAUGCAUAGCCGACCUGAGAGGGUGAUCGGCCACAUUGGGACUGAGACACGGCCCAAACUCCUACGGGAGGCAGCAGUAGGGAAUCUUCCGCAAUGGACGCAAGUCUGACGGAGCAACGCCGCGUGAGUGAAGAAGGUUUUCGGAUCGUAAAACUCUGUUGUUAGAGAAGAACAAGUGCUAGAGUAACUGUUAGAGCCUUGACGGUAUCUAACCAGAAAGCCACGGCUAACUACGUG